AUGCUGCCGGUGGUAGGGGAAAACGUGUUUACUGAUGCCGACAACGAACGUGCCAGACGCCAGGGCGCUUGGAUCUGCCACGAGCCCCGGAGCUCUGGAGCCCUGGAGCCCUGGCUAAGUUCCAGCUCUGGCACCUGGGAGUCAGGGCGAGGGAAGAAAGCUGGUCAGAGCUUCAGAGAAGAGGCAGAAGUGUGCAAACAGGAGCAGGUCCAAGAUUCGCAUGGCCAGAAGCAAUUCUUGAUCCUCUUGGCUAGAUUCGAAGACUUGGCCACCUCCAGAUGCUACCACACUCUGGGACAGUGGGAAGUUCGGAACAGCUUUGAGAAGAGCAAGUCAUUCAGAAAAACAAUUGAAGUAUCAUUUAACCAUGGAAAAGUGCAUAUUCCGUUGAUGAAAAGCCUAAAUCAGCUGAUCUUGGUUACCACCCCAUCCCCAGGGAUGGGCAGAGGGGGUGGCAGCGUCGGCAGCGACAGCAAGGGAGGCGGCUGGAUUAAAGAGAUCACCUGCAGGUAUUUUAUGCUGGGGUUUGUAAGGAGGGUGAUAACUGUCGCUACUCCCAUGACCUCUCUGACAGUCCGUGUGGUGUAGCAUGCAAGUAUUUUCAGUGAGGGUACUGUAUUGAGACCGCUGCAGAUAUGAACAUAGCAAGCCAUUGAAACAGGAAGAAGCAACUGCUACAGAGCUAACUACAACGUCAUCCCUUGCUGCUUCCUCAAGUCUCUCAUCGUUAGUCAGACCACUUGUUGAAAUGAAUACAGGUGAAGCUGAGUCAAGAAAUUCAAACUUUGCAAUUGUAGGAGCAGGUUCAGAGGACUGGGUGCAUGCUAUUUUUGUUCCUGGGCAACCCUACUUUGGCUCUGUGCCUUCCUGCACUGAAGCACCUCUGCAGGACUCAGUGACCAAGGAAGAAUCAGAGAAAGAGAAAAACUGCUGUGGAAACCAAGAAGCAGCUGUGCCCCCGUGCUACAGUGGGAGAGUGCCGAGAUGGGGAGAACUGUGUGCCUCUCCACGGAGAUUCAUGUGACAUGUGUGGACUGCAGGUCCUACAUCCCAUGGAUGCUGCCCAGAGAUCACAGCGUAUAAAAUCGUGCAUUGAGGCCCGUGAGAAGGACAUGGAGCUCUCACUUGCUGUGCAGCGCAGCAAGGACUUGGUGUUUGGGAUCUGCAUGGAGGUGGUCUAUGAGAAAGCAAACCCCAGCGAGUGCCGCUUCGGGAUCCUCUCCAACUGCAACCACACCUACUGUCUCAAGUGCAUUCGCAAGUGGAGGAGUGCUAAGCAAUUUCAGAGCAAGAUUGCCUGCCCAGAUUGCCAGAUCACAUCUAACUUUGUCAUUCCAAGUGAGUCCUGGGUGGAAGAGAAAGAAGAGAAGCAGAAACUCAUUCAGAAAUACAAGGAGGCAUUGGGCAACAAGGCUUGCAGGUAUUUUGAUGAAGGACGUGGGAGCUGCCCAUUUGGAAGGAAUUGUUUUUACAAGCAUGCAUACCCUGAUGGGCUUACAGAGGAGCCACAGAGACAGAAAGUGGGAACAUCAAGCAGAAACUGGGUCCAAUGAAGGAACCACUUCUGAGAACUCAUUGAGGAAAGAGAUAGCAGCAACCCUUUUGACAAUGAUGAAGAGGUUGUCACCUUUGAGCUGGGCGAGAUGUUGCUUAUGCUUUUGGCUGCAGGUGGGGAUGAUGAACUGGCAGACUCUGAAGAUGAAUGGGACUUGUUUCAUGAUGAGCUGGAAGAUUUUUAUGAUUUGGAUCUAUAGCAACCUUGUGUGGCAUGUGAACUGGUCUGCUGACCCCAGACAGCAGCUGUCUCGUGCUGGUGUGGCAGUGCCUGUGUUCUCUCCUAGGCAGGCCUAUCAACUCCAGGUGUUGUAAAAAUUUUUACCCAGGGCCUGUCUUCUCAACCCUUCACCUUUCCCCGAGGAGUGUGUUAUUUUCCCUGUUGAAAACAGUUAAAACUUAAAGUUAGUUUUUUGUAACACAA